rnacentral:rRNA from 1 species
ACGCUGGCGGCAGGCCUAACACAUGCAAGUCGAGCGGUAGAGAGAAGCUUGCUUCUCUUGAGAGCGGCGGACGGGUGAGUAAUGCCUAGGAAUCUGCCUGGUAGUGGGGGAUAACGUUCGGAAACGGACGCUAAUACCGCAUACGUCCUACGGGAGAAAGCAGGGGACCUUCGGGCCUUGCGCUAUCAGAUGAGCCUAGGUCGGAUUAGCUAGUUGGUGGGGUAAUGGCUCACCAAGGCGACGAUCCGUAACUGGUCUGAGAGGAUGAUCAGUCACACUGGAACUGAGACACGGUCCAGACUCCUACGGGAGGCAGCAGUGGGGAAUAUUGGACAAUGGGCGAAAGCCUGAUCCAGCCAUGCCGCGUGUGUGAAGAAGGUCUUCGGAUUGUAAAGCACUUUAAGUUGGGAGGAAGGGCCAUUACCUAAUACGUGAUGGUUUUGACGUUACCGACAGAAUAAGCACCGGCUAACUCUGUGCCAGCAGCCGCGGUAAUACAGAGGGUGCAAGCGUUAAUCGGAAUUACUGGGCGUAAAGCGCGCGUAGGUGGUUUGUUAAGUUGGAUGUGAAAUCCCCGGGCUCAACCUGGGAACUGCAUUCAAAACUGACUGACUAGAGUAUGGUAGAGGGUGGUGGAAUUUCCUGUGUAGCGGUGAAAUGCGUAGAUAUAGGAAGGAACACCAGUGGCGAAGGCGACCACCUGGACUGAUACUGACACUGAGGUGCGAAAGCGUGGGGAGCAAAC